rnacentral:rRNA from 1 species
CCUACGGGUGGCAGCAGUGAGGAAUAUUGGACAAUGGACGAGAGUCUGAACCAGCCAAGUAGCGUGAAGGAUGACUGCCCUCGGGGUGGUAAGCUUCUUUUAUAGGGGGAUAAAAUGUUCCACGUGUGGGAUUUUGUAUGUACCAUAUGAGUAAGGAUCGGCUAACUCCGGGCCAGCAGCCGCGGUAAUACGGUGGGUCCGAGCGUUAGUCGGAUUGAUUGGGUUUAAAGGGAGCGUAGGUGGCUUGUUAAGUCAGUUGUGAAAGUUUGCGGCUCAACCGUAGAAUUGCAGUUGAAACUGGCAGUCUAGAGUACAGUAGAGGUGGGUGGAAUUCGUGGUGUAGCGGUGAAAUGCUUAGAUAUCACGAAGAACUCCGAUUGCGAAGGCAGUUCACUGGACUGCAACUGACACUGAGGCUCGAAAGUGUGGGUAUCAAACAGGAUUAGAUACCCGAGUAGUC